ACUCCUACGGGAGGCAGCAGUGGGGAAUAUUGCACAAUGGGCGCAAGCCUGAUGCAGCAACGCCGCGUGAGGGACGACGGCCUUCGGGUUGUAAACCUCUUUUAGUAGGGAAGAAGCGAAAGUGACGGUACCUGCAGAAAAAGCACCGGCUAACUACGUGCCAGCAGCCGCGGUAAUACGUAGGGUGCAAGCGUUAUCCGGAAUUAUUGGGCGUAAAGAGCUCGUAGGCGGUUUGUCGCGUCUGCUGUGAAAACUGGAGGCUCAACCUCCAGCCUGCAGUGGGUACGGGCAGACUAGAGUGCGGUAGGGGAGAUUGGAAUUCCUGGUGUAGCGGUGGAAUGCGCAGAUAUCAGGAGGAACACCGAUGGCGAAGGCAGAUCUCUGGGCCGUAACUGACGCUGAGGAGCGAAAGCAUGGGGAGCGAACAGGAUUAGAUACCCUGGUAGUCCAUGCCGUAAACGUUGGGAACUAGAUGUAGGGACCAUUCCACGGUUUCUGUGUCGCAGCUAACGCAUUAAGUUCCCCGCCUGGGGAGUACGGCCGCAAGGCUAAAACUCAAAGGAAUUGACGGGGGCCCGCACAAGCGGCGGAGCAUGCGGAUUAAUUCGAUGCAACGCGAAGAACCUUACCAAGGCUUGACAUAUACCGGAAAAGUGCAAAAAUGUACUCCCCGCAAGGUCGGUAUACAGGUGGUGCAUGGUUGUCGUCAGCUCGUGUCGUGAGAUGUGGGUUAAGUCCCGCAACGAGCGCAACCCUCGUUCUAUGUUGCCAGCACGUAAUGGUGGGAACUCAUAGGAGACUGCCGGGGUCAACUCGGA
rnacentral:rRNA from 1 species